UGCAGGCUGCAACUCGCCUGCAUGAAGUCGGAAUUGCUAGUAAUCGCAGAUCAGCAUGCUGUGGUGAAUACGUUCCCGGGUCUUGUACACACCGCCCGUCACACCAUGGGAGUCGGAAAUGCCCGAAGUCUGUGACCCAACCGGAAGGAGGGAGCAGCCGAAGGCAGGUCGGAUGACUGGGGUGAAGUCGUAACAAGGUAGC
rnacentral:rRNA from 1 species